GCAUCUUUCUUUCAACACCAAACCCACCACUGGUAUGUGUGGCCGAAGAGCUCUAUUUUCAUGUCAUCUGACCACAGCGCCGGUUCCAAUCCAAUUGCCAAUGUUGUUAAGCAUACUCCAGGCGUUUACAUUUGUUGGAUGACGUGAAAAUAGAGGUAUUUGGCCACGAGAGUAUUGAAAACAGGGAUGCCCCUAUCUUUUUCAUGUUUGUUUUUUUACUUGAUAGACAAUCUCCUUCUCUGACCAAUUGUAUUAGUAUAAAAUUAAGAUAGUACAUGUAGUUCAGUAUUUGUAUUAUUAGUUUUAUAGUCUUUUUUGCUCAUCUUAAUCAAGGAUGCCAAUAAUUCUGGAGGUGACUGUAAAUAAUAAUUUGGAGUUUGAUUAAAUGCAAUGUGCUUUUUUGCACUUCUCUGGGGAUGAGAUUUAGACAGCGUUGUGUUGGGAGCAGAUUAUAUUGGGUGUUUCAUUGGGCAACCUGAACCCAGCUGCUUAGCCUAUUUCUGUAGUUCAUUGUAGUUUUUCCUUCCCAAUUGUUAUUAUUCUUUCCCAAUUGUAUUAUAACUUUCAGUCAAUUUUCGUCUCUAUUUAACUUCUGUUAAUUACAUGUAGAUAUUACUCCUAGUAUCAGGACGUACUCCUGCUAUGUGAACCUCUCAUGUAAACCCUUGGUUUGUGGUCAGGCUCAGGAAACGCUCCAGGGCACUAGCGUAUUUGGAAUGAGAGAGAUUUGUCCCACACUUGUUAUCCCCCUGUCAUUACUGAUGAGUGUUCUCUGUGCUUUUUGAUACUGGUUUGUUUGUGUUCUAAUCACUGGUGUAUGUAAAUACUAGAAUAUGGAAUAUUGGAAUAUGAAAAAUGUUGGAUUCUGAAGUGAGCAAACGACAGAUCUAACCAGAUUGACAUGUUGUUUUGUUCUGUGUUUAUGUAUUUUAUUAACAGGCUCUAAGUUUAACUGAAAAGCAUCCACCUAAUGUACAUAAAUGCCUAGAUCGCUCCUUAAGACUAACUUUGCCUGCAUAACUUAUAUUUUACUGUCUUGAAACAAAAAACGGAAAAAAGAGAAAGAAGCCUUGAAUGUAUUACUGUAUGCUUGCCCUUAAAAUAUCAGAAGAAAAUUAUACCUCAUAUGUCUUUUGGUGGUCAUGCAACCAGAUCUACUGGCAGCUUGGCAGGACCACACACACACACACACACACACACACACAGUAGUUAUCAUGGUCUGCCUGCCUUUUGGCAAAGCUGAAAAUCAAGUAAAGAUUUUGCAUUGAUUUAAAAUCAUAUCAAGCUUCUGUAUAUCCAUGUUCCCCCAAGAACCAUUAAAUGGCUAAAAAAGUGUUUGGUAAUAUUGCGCAGUAUUUCAAUGGCAUGCUACGAGCAGGUUAGAGAACAUCUUCCAGAGGUUUUCUAUUGAAUGCAUCUCUUACAUGCAUUAUUUGAUGUUAAUUACUUGCUAAUCUCACACAGUCACUCAUUAAGGGCUCUGCUCAUCCUUUAUUGUGUGAGCAGAGAAAAAAAUACAAGAUGUCAGCAUUUAGCUGACAACCUUGAGUGAAUCAUUACCGUGGCAACAAUGGACAGGGAUAUUUUGGAGAUGACCAGACAUUCAUCAUUGCCACCUCGUGCCAGUGUGAUUUAGAUGGACUGGUCUAAAUCACACUGGCACGUGAUCACCACUAACACUCAUCACCACCUCUAUGCCCCUGUACAUUGUCAAGACCACAGUACAUUAUCCAGGCGCCUGUCACCCCUUUGUUCUAUGCCUUCCUUCUUUUUCUAUCUCCUUUCCCUCUUUGCAAGUCUCAGUUAAUUCAGCCUGUGGUUUCUGUUGAAACCUGGAGGCAAAAGCUGAGCGGUUUCCACUAGAUGAGCCAUCCACAAAGUCAAAAUCGUCUAUAUCGUUAAAAAAAAAUCAUGAAAACAAAAGUGUGCUUUUUGGUCUUAAUUCAAUGUUAGGGUUAGGUAUAUGGUUAGCAGUGUGAUUAGGGUUAUGUUUAACAUCAGAUUUGUGGCUAGGCCAGCUAGUGACCACUCUGCAGAGCUGCCUCCAGGACAAGAUUCAUCCCAAURAAUGCCAACCUCCCAAUCCACAUACUUAAAGAGUAGUAGUUUUUUUGUUCAAAUGUAAAAAGCCACACCUUCAUGGACCCACACCCUUUCCCAAUGCAUUUACAGGCUCUUCUCGACCUUAUGGAAUUGAUUGUUUUCCACAGGACGCAGACACAAUGUGAGUGACUAACGGCCAGCAAUAGUACAGAUGCGGCCUGGUGAAUCUGCCUGCUCUCUCACUGCACGUCACAUCACCUCUACUUCCCCAUCUUCCCCCUUCAGUCUGUUCUCUGUCACCAGUCUGUCAAGCCUACUCCCGUCUGCUGACUCUCCUCCUGCUYAGUUCCUCUGUGUUGAAGUAAACACUCUGGGACAGCUGGAUGUCUGACCUUUACAGAAUACAAGUGAGAAGUGGGGAGGGAGAGACAUCAAGGUAACAGACCAGUAGGCUCUGUUGUGUUUCAGAUGAUGACAGCUUUUUGUGUUAGGACUCUGAAAAACAUGCACUGCACAGACUGGAAAACCAGAAUUUCUGUCCGAUUCCAUCGUCCAAGCACCUUCAAGUUCCACCAGGUCUUUUUUUUUUAGACAGAACAGACUGAUCUAAAAUGACAGAUCAGAUCUGUGUCUGACUCCCAGACAAGGGGCUUGUCCAGCUCUUCACCUGCUGCUCCUUCCAUUUGCUUGACAGAGAAAUCAUAUUGACUGAUACAAUGUCAACAAAGUUCAAUAAAGCAUCCGUAUACACACUGCAUGGUAUACUAGACUUCCGGCCUCCACAACUGUUUACAGAUUUCCUCGUUUCAUACGUAGUUUGACCUGUACUGUAGGACAUCAUCCUCCCUUCAACUGAUCAAUCGCUUAGUUUAUUUAUUCGUGAAAAGUAAAGGGAUAGUAAUGCUUUCAAAUUUAAUUCAUGUUUUAAUAUUUAUUUCAUGAAAAAAAACAUGUUCUCAUUGAUACAAGCUAUUUAACAUGAAUAUUGCACUUUAUUGUCUGUGGUUUUUUGUUGUUGUGUAGAUUAGCCUGUUAUGUUGAUUAUUCUAAGAAAGAAAUGGCUAGCUCUUACAUAAUUUUGCAGUAUCUUUUUUUGUUUUCCUGUUGUGUUAUUUSUUACAUUAUUUGCUUAGAACGUUUCUUGUAUUAUUACCUACAGCCGGACACACUAUAUAUACUGUAUUUACAUUCUGGUCUCUGACUGGUUCUAAUAUUUCUUCAUUUCUAUUUAUUUUCUGGAUUAUGUGUGUAUAGUUUAUUUUAUUUUUGCUAUGUAUUAGCUACUGAACUGUUGGAGCUAGAAACACAAACAUAUCGCUGCACCUGCGAUAGCAUCUUCAAAUCUGUAUACAUGACCAAUAAAAAUAGUUGAUAUGCGCAUGCGUAUUACCCCCCACGAAUGUUUUCAAACAACGUGCUUCUGGUAGUGAUCAUUCAGUCCAAGAUGGCGGACCUCUUAGGCUCAAUCUUAAAAUCAAUGGAAAAACCUCCAACAGUGGGCGACAAAGAGAGCCGACGAAGGGACCGAGAACAGGCAGCAAGAAUGAAGAAGAUGCAGCAGGAUGAGAAAGAAAAAGCAAGCAGAGUUCAGGCAAAGGAUGGAGAAAGAGGGGUCCGAAUUCAUUCAAGCCAGUAGACAACAGAAGAGGAAGUACAAUUCCAUGGGAAAGAUUGAAAGGAGCAUAUUGAGUUUGCUCCAUCAGACGAUGAGCUGGAGGCUUACCAGAAUGGAAUGAAGUGGGACCCCCAGAAAGCUGUUUACAGGCGCAGACUUGAAGUAAGACUGGAGACAAACGCAGUCGCUCACAUUCACUGAGGAACAAAACCGAAGAGCAGCACAGGCCACUAUGCUUCCCACAAUUGAGUCUUGCUCCACCUUAGAUAUACUCACUCUAACAGUACUCUUUUGAGGUUGGGUUCAGAGCUGUUGCUUGAAGAAAGUUUUUGAUGAUGGAACCUGUCCACUGCUCUUCAGGAACAAGCUGCGUUGGAAGAGGAGACGGCCAAAAAGACACGGAAGAGGGCUGCUUUCUCCCUGCUCCAAUUACCGUGACAAGUACAGCCAUCUGAUCGGCACCUCUGCUGCUAAGGAUGUAGCACAUACAGUCUUAUACUCAGCUGGACCCUCCCCGGAUUUUGUGUUAAAUGCUCUACAACAAAGCUUUC